rnacentral:sRNA from 1 species
GCAGAGGUCAGCUGAGAUGUUAUCUCCCCCAGAGAUUCUUACCAGAUGGCCAAGCCCAGAGAAUAUUCUGAAUCCCCCAGAGGGUUUCUUAAAAUGCAGUUUCCAGGGCCUCACCCUAGAACUAAUAACUCAGCCUCACAGAGCCGGGGGUUGGGGGGCAGGGAAGCUGCAUCAACGUGAUGCGAUGUGACAAGGCUCUGGACCACAGGGUGAUUCAGCCCCAUAUCAGCGCUCAGGAAUUCCCAGGCCAGUGGGGAGCGGGGGCGGGGGCGGGGACAAACAGGGAAGCGCACAGUAAGGGAGAAUGUGGGGACUCAGAGCAGGAGCCUUUGGAGUCAGAGAAGUUUUCCAGAAGGGACAUCUAAGCAGAGCCCGGCUAGGCAAAGUGAACUGCCAUGGCGAGGGCCUGGAGACUUCCAGAAGCAUGAUAACUGCUCUUAAUUGUUCAACCCUCACCAGGAGGUAAGGCCUGUGAGGUGGGUGCUAUUAGGGUCCCCAUUCUACAGAUGAGGAAACUGAAGCCCAGGAAGUCUCCUGGCUCGCCAGCAGGGCAGCUGGAGGUUGCUGACCUCUGAGGGAGGCCCCAGCCAAGGCGGGAGCUAAGUGGGCGCCCCCUCCUCUCCCCUCUCAGGCCCAGUACCGCCGAGGCCUGGAGCUGUCCAAGCAGGCCGCUCAGCUGGGAGCUACAGCCGGAGGGGCUGGAGAGGCAGAAGGUGCAGAGUUCCCAGAGCUGGCAGCCUUUGCCUCUACCCAGCGGGUCUUCCAGGCAAAGCUGACCCACUUUUACAUGGCGGCCGAGCGGCAACGCACUGACCUUGAGACGCUGCUCCACCUGCACCGCUUCUGCAAGAGGAUGACCUGGUUCCACAUGGACUGUCAGGACCUGAUGGCCCAGCUCAGGCUGGACAAGACCUCAAGGGUCAGUCCUGGGGACCAGCGCCGCCUCCACCGCUACCUGCAGCGACUGGCAUCUGAGUUCCCUGCUGAGAAGCUCGCAGCCGUGGGGCUGCAGGUGGCCUCCCUGAGCCAGGCAGGCCUGGGCCAGGAGCUGUGGGAGGAGGCCCGGAUCAGGCAUGAGGAGAUCCGGAUGCUCCUGGAGAAGGCACUGACCCACAGCUCUUGCCCAGAGGCUCCAGCUGCUCACUCGGCAUGCCCAGAACGAAGAGGGGUGGCGGCCAAGGGCCAAGGUCUGAGUGUAGAGGUCACUUCCAAGGGGAGGUGGGACCAGCUUCCACUAGACUCACUGGGCAUGGACCAUUUGCCAAAGUCCUAUUGGCCUCCUGGGCCCCCCAGAGGGGAACAGAACAGAACUUUCCAGGCAGGCUCUCCACCCCAGGAAGCUGGCCGGGCUGCAGAGGCUGAAGACGGCAAAGGCUCCCACAAGCUCCCUGACCCUGCCUGCGAGCAUUUGCUUGCCACUACCUUCUUCCGGCAGCAGCCCCCCAGGCAGAGCCAAGUCCCUCGCCUCACUGGGGGCAGCUUCUCCUCAGAGGGGACAGACUCGCAGACAUCCCUUGAGGACUCACCCCAGACAAGUCCCCUUGCCUCCCUCUAGCUGAGAGCCCCCUUCAGUGGCACCAGCCUCCAGGAGCACUGGGAUGGGGCCCAGCUGGAGGGGUAGCUGGGAGCUCUGGUCAGUCCCAGUGAGACGUCGCCAUGGAGCACUGGUUUUACGUUCUGCCUCUGCUGGGAGGAUGGGAACUGUUGACCUGCCCCCUGGCUCCAGAAAACUCCUGGAAGACCCGAUCCUCACCCAUGCAGAAUAGCGAGAGUGGGUGUCAGAACCAGGGCACAAUGAAGGGUGUGAUUGGCUCCAUCCCUCCAGGCUCUCAUUGUGGAAAGACCUGUCAGCACAGACCCCUCCAGAGGUCUCCCUCGCAGGCAGGCAGACACCCACCUGCAGCUCAGGAACAUACACAGCUCUCCCCUCGGGCACGAGGGCCAGUGUUGCCCUUAUACAGAAUCCUUGGGGAGAUUCGGGAGUGCUUCCUUGUCUUGGAUUCCAGGAAAAUGGACCCUGAGAUGAGGAUUUAAGGAUCAGUGUGUUUGGUGCUGAUCCAGGAACCUCAGCUGGGGGAGUAGGAGGUGAAUCUGCAAAGGGAAUAAAGAGUAUGUUGUCAAG